CGGUAACAGGCUAGCUUGCUAGUGCNGACGAGUGGCGGACGGGUGAGUAACGCGUAGGAAUCUACCCNGUUGUGGGGGAUAGCCCGGAGAAAUCCGGAUUAAUACCGCACACACCCUACGGGGGAAAACAGGGGAUCUUCCGACCUUGUGCAAUUGGAUGAGCCUGCGUUAGAUUAGCUAGUUGGUGGGGUAAAGGCCUACCAAGGCGACCAUCUAUAGCUGGUCUGAGAGGAUGAUCAACCACAUCGGGACUGAGACACGGCCCGGACUCCUACCGGAGGCAGCAGUGGGGAAUAUUGAACAAUGGGCGCAAGCCUGAUCCAUCCAUGCCUCGUGUGUGAAUAAAGCCUUCCGGUUGUAAAGCACUUUCUUUUGUGAAGAAGGGGUUCGUGUUAAUAACACGGAUCUUUGACGUUNACUUUAGAAAAAACACCGGCNAACUCCNUGCCAGC
rnacentral:rRNA from 1 species